rnacentral:rRNA from 1 species
GAUUGGUGAAGUGGGUGAUCCUAUGCUGUCGAGAAAAACCUCUAGCGAGCUAUGCGCCGCCCGUACCCCAAACCGACUCAGGUGAUCAGGUAGAGAAUACCAAGGCGAUCGAGAUAACCAUGGUUAAGGAACUCGGCAAAAUGCCCCCGUAACUUCGGGAGAAGGGGGGCCCGGAGCGUGUACCCACUUGCUGGGGAAGCGUGAAGGGCCGCAGAGACCAGGCCCAAGCGACUGUUUACUAAAAACACAGGUCCGUGCGAAGUUGUAAGACGAUGUAUACGGACUGACUCCUGCCCGGUGCUGGAAGGUUAAGAGGACGGGUUAGACGUAAGUCGAAACUCAGAAUUUAAGCCCCAGUAAACGGCGGUGGUAACUAUAACCAUCCUAAGGUAGCGAAAUUCCUUGUCGGGUAAGUUCCGACCUGCACGAAUUGAGUAACGACUUGGGCGCUGUCUCAACCAUGGACUCGGCGAAAUUGCACUACGAGUAAAGAUGCUCGUUACGCGCGGCAGGACGGAAAGACCCCGGGACCUUUACUAUAGUUUGGUAUUGGUGUUUGGUUCGGCUUGUGUAGGAUAGGUGGGAGACUUUGAAGCAGCCACGCCAGUGGUUGUGGAGUCAUCGUUGAAAUACCACUCUGGUCGUACUAGAUGUCUAACCUAGGUCCGUUAUCCGGAUCAGGGACAGUGCCUGAUGGGUAGUUUAACUGGGGCGGUUGCCUCCUAAAAUGUAACGGAGGCGCUCAAAGGUUCCCUCAGCCUGGUCGGCAAUCAGGUGUUGAGUGUAAGUGCACAAGGGAGCUUGACUGUGAGACAGACAUGUCGAGCAGGGACGAAAGUCGGAACUAGUGAUCCGGCCACGGCAUGUGGAAGCGUGGUCGCUCAACGGAUAAAAGGUACCCCGGGGAUAACAGGCUGAUCUUCCCCAAGAGUCCAUAUCGACGGGAUGGUUUGGCACCUCGAUGUCGGCUCGUCGCAUCCUGGGGCUGGAGUAGGUCCCAAGGGUUGGGCUGUUCGCCCAUUAAAGCGGCACGCGAGCUGGGUUUAGAACGUCGUGAAACAGUUCGGUCCCUAUCCGCCGCGCGCGCAGGAAACUUGAGAAAGGCUGUCCCUAGUACGAGAGGACCGGGAUGGACGAACCUCUGGUGUGCCAGUUGUCCCGCCAGGAGCACGGCUGGUUGGCUACGUUCGGAAGUGAUAACCGCUGAAUGCAUC